UCCUUCCUUAUCUGAAUAACAGCUUAUCAUGCUUUAAGACAAAUUCUUAUAAGGAGGCUUUUUGGAACUUUGAGUCUAGAUUAGAUGUUUCUCCUCUGUGCACCUAUUCAUUCACUCAUUCAUUCAUUCAUUCAUUUGUUCAUUCACAUACAACAUCCUUUUCUUACUCUUCUAUUUGCAUGUACUUGACAUGUGCCUCUGUGUUAUUUUUCUUGAUAGGACUUGAGAGCCACAGAACACGUCUCAUUUAUCUUCCUCUCUCCAGUACUAAUUUAGUGGUCAAUAGAACGGAUGUUCAUUGGGUGGAUUCUUCUUAACAAGCAAGUGGUGCAGUAUCACACCGAGAAGAUAUGCGGACUGAGCACAGCUUUUUGAUAACCUUUCAUCCAUCGAGAUUUUUCUUUCGAAAAGAGUGAGUUAUAAAACAGAUUUUAUUAUUUACCCAGGGUUAAAUUUUUUUAAUAAAAAUGUAUAAUUCUGAUAUAUCCUGUAGCA
rnacentral:lncRNA from 1 species